GCCCUGCCUCGAGAGCGGGGCGCCCGAGGGGCAGGGCCACAGUGAACGCAAGGCGCAUGCGUACCCACGACGGCCGCCGCUUCUACGCCCUAGGCCUGCUGAUUCUGGCGGGAAAAGGCGCGGCGCCCGGCACCGGCCCCCGGCUUCCCGCCAGUUGUCGAAGCCCAAACUUCAAGGGGCGAGCUCUUCACCGUGACUGUCAGAGAGAAGGGGAGCCGGGUACCCUAAGACCUCCCGGGAGAGAGGGAGCCCCAAAUCUGGAAACAGCAGCCACCGCCUGAGCCGGCCCCCCUUGGCCUCCAUGGACGUCAGGCAGAGCCAGGGGGCCCACAGCCAAACCCCCAGACCCGCCAGCCCUACGCCAGAAAUAGUGCUUUGGGAUCAGCCUGAGGACUGGGGGCUUGGGGCCACACUCAGCCUGGAGGAGCAGGUGCUCAAUUCCACGUUUGAAGCUUGUGACUCGGAAAAGAAAGGUGUGGUGGCUGUGGGGCAGGUUCUGGCCUAUCUCGAAGCAGUGACGGGGCGCAGUCCCCAGGACAGUGACCUGUGCAGCUUGGCCCAGGCCCUGGACCCCAGCGGGGAGGGCCCCACCGCCAUUGUAAACCGAGCCACCUUCUUCAGCAUCAUGCAGGACUGGAUCGCCACCUGCCAGCUGGGGCCGGGAUUAGAACUGGAGGAGGAGGCAGCCGUGGAACCCAGCCUCCUGCCAUCUGGAAUCCCGGCCCAGCUGGAGAGCUAUGGAGACGAGGAGCCGGGGCCGGAGCUGCCGGCCACAGCCGAGCUGCUCAGCAACCUGGAGGAGCUGGAACUCAGCAAUCGCCGGCUAGCCGGUGAGAACGCCAAGCUGCAGAGGAGCGUGGAGACGGCCGAUGAGGGGGCCGCCCGCCUCGGGGAGGAGCUGGCCUCCCUGCGAAAGCAGCUGCGCAGUUCCCAGCAGGCUUUGCAGUUUGCCAAGGCAGUGGAUGAGGAACUAGAAGACAUGAAGAGUUUGGCCAAAAGCCUGGAGGAGAAGAAUCGCAGCCUUGUGGCCCAGGCCCGGCAGACGGAGAGAGAACAGCAGCAGCUGGUGGCUGAGGUGGAGACGCUGCAGGAGGAGAACGGGAAGCUGCUGGCCGAGAGGGACGGCGUGAAGAAGAGGAGCGAGGAGCUGGUCGUGGAGAAGGAGGCCUUGAGGCGUCAGCUGUGUGAGUAUGAGAGCCUCAUUUGCCAUCGAGACCAUGUCCUUUCCGAGCGGACAAAUCGGACAGAAAAUCUGACCGAGGCCUUGGAGGAGUAUAGGGCCACGAUCCAGGAGCUGAAGCAGAAGAUCUCCCACCUGGAGGAGCAGCUGAGUCAGAGCCGGGAGGGGCCUGAGGGGUUUCAGGAAGGGCCCCACGAGCUAAUGGGCGGAUGGAUGAAGCUGCACCCCCAGUCGCUGUGCGUGGAGAUCGAGGCCAUUCGGCAGAGACAAGAGCUGGGGACCAGCCUCCUCAACCCUCUGUGCGGUCCCAGCCUUGGGGAGAGCCCCUGGAGGGCCCCGGAGGAGCGGGGGCCCCCACCGAGGAGCCGAACACAGGCCAAGAGAAGUCACAUGAAUCGCACAGCAGCUGGGAGGAGGAAAAUUCCUGGUCACUCGAGAGGGACGGUCAAAGAGCCGACGAGACGGGGACGAAGCCCCAAGAUGCGGCCGGACACCCAACCGCCCUCUGGGGACCGCAGCCUGACGAUAGGACCUGCCCUGAUGCUGGGAGCCCCAGCGAGCCCGCUGUCCAUCAGGCCUCGGAGCCUGUAAUGAGCCAACUGGUUUCGGCCGAGAGGAGGACAGGCUGGGGACAGAUCUACCCUCUCCCCUUGGCUGCCCCGAGACACAGGACUCCCAGCUUUUCAGGGGCCCAGCCUCCCAUCCUGGGCCUCCUGUUCCUGCUGCUGCUGCUCUCUUUCCUGGUCCUGGUCUCCUCCAGGCCUCUGGCCUGGCCCCAACUCCAGCUGCAUUACCUCCAGACCCCACCAGUGUGAGCCCCGAAGUCUCUGAUCCAAUAAACUCCCUCCAUGCCCCGUC